GUUGUUGGGUAGGGGAGCGUUCUGUAAGCCUGCGAAGGUGACCUGUGAGGGUUGCUGGAGGUAUCAGAAGUGCGAAUGCUGACAUAAGUAACGAUAAAGCGGGUGAAAAGCCCGCUCGCCGGAAGACCAAGGGUUCCUGUCCAACGUUAAUCGGGGCAGGGUGAGUCGACCCCUAAGGCGAGGCCGAAAGGCGUAGUCGAUGGGAAACAGGUUAAUAUUCCUGUACUUGGUGUUACUGCGAAGGGGGGACGGAGAAGGCUAUGUUAGCCGGGCGACGGUUGUCCCGGUUUAAGCAUGUAGGCUGGUUGUCCAGGCAAAUCCGGAUAAUCAAGGCUGAGGUGUGAUGACGAGGCACUACGGUGCUGAAGUAACAAAUGCCCUGCUUCCAGGAAAAGCCUCUAAGCAUCAGGUAACAUCAAAUCGUACCCCAAACCGACACAGGUGGUCAGGUAGAGAAUACCAAGGCGCUUGA
rnacentral:rRNA from 1 species